GAUGAACGCUGGCGGCGUGCUUAACACAUGCAAGUCGAACGAUGAAGCUCAGCUUGCUGGGUGGAUUAGUGGCGAACGGGUGAGUAACACGUGAGUAACCUGCCCUUAACUCUGGGAUAAGCCUGGGAAACUAGGUCUAAUACCGGAUAGGAGCGCCUACCGCAUGGUGGGUGUUGGAAAGAUUUAUCGGUUUUGGAUGGACUCGCGGCCUAUCAGCUUGUUGGUGAGGUAAUGGCUCACCAAGGCGACGACGGGUAGCCGGCCUGAGAGGGUGACCGGCCACACUGGGACUGAGACACGGCCCAGACUCCUACGGGAGGCAGCAGUGGGGAAUAUUGCACAAUGGGCGAAAGCCUGAUGCAGCGACGCCGCGUGAGGGAUGACGGCCUUCGGGUUGUAAACCUCUUUCAGUAGGGAAGAAGCGAAAGUGACGGUACCUGCAGAAGAAACACCGGCUAACUACGU
rnacentral:rRNA from 1 species